UUACUCUUUCGGGGUUAGGUGUAAUUCCUUACCGGCGGUAUAGCCCGCGAGCCAAAUGGCAGAUCCGGUUUAAUUCCGGAGCCGACAGUUAAAGUCUGGAUGGGAGAAAGAGAUU
rnacentral:ncRNA from 2 species